UACGAAGGGGCCUAGCGGUGUUCGGAAUUACUGGGCGUAAAGCGCAUGUAGGCGGAUCUAUAAGUCAGAGGUGAAAUCCCCGGGCUCAACCCUGGAAUUGCCUUUGAUACUGUAGAUCUGGAGUCUGGGAGAGGUGAGUGGAAUGCCGAGUGUAGAGGUGAAAUUCGUAGAUAUUCGGAGGAACACCAGUGGCGAAGGCGGCUCACUGGCCCCAGACUGACGCUGAGAUGCGAAAGCGUGGGGAGCAAACAGG
rnacentral:rRNA from 1 species